UACGUAUGGUGCAAGCGUUAUCCGGAUUUACUGGGUGUAAAGGGAGCGCAGGCGGCACGGCAAGCCUGAUGUGAAAGCCCGCGGCCCAACCGCGGGACUGCAUUGGGAACUACCGGGCUGGAGUGCCGGAGAGGUAGGCGGAAUUCCUAGUGUAGCGGUGAAAUGCGUAGAUAUUAGAAGGAACACCAGUGGCGAAGGCGGCCUACUGGACGGUGACUGACGCUGAGGCUCGAAAGCGUGGGGAGCAAACAGG
rnacentral:rRNA from 1 species